rnacentral:rRNA from 1 species
GAUGAACGCUGGCGGCGUGCCUAAUACAUGCAAGUCGAGCGAACAGAUGAGGAGCUUGCUCCUCUGACGUUAGCGGCGGACGGGUGAGUAACACGUGGAUAACCUACCUAUAAGACUGGGAUAACUUCGGGAAACCGGAGCUAAUACCGGAUAAUAUAUUGAACCGCAUGGUUCAAUAGUGAAAGACGGUUUUGCUGUCACUUAUAGAUGGAUCCGCGCCGCAUUAGCUAGUUGGUAAGGUAACGGCUUACCAAGGCAACGAUGCGUAGCCGACCUGAGAGGGUGAUCGGCCACACUGGAAGUGAGACACGGUCCAGACUCCUACGGGAGGCAGCAGUAGGGAAUCUUCCGCAAUGGGCGAAAGCCUGACGGAGCAACGCCGCGUGAGAGAUGAAGGUCUUCGGAUCGUAAAACUCUGUUAUUAGGGAAGAACAAAUGUGUAAGUAACUAUGCACGUAUUGACGGUACCUAAUCAGAAAGCCACGGCUAACUACGUG